rnacentral:rRNA from 1 species
GUGAGGAUUGACAGAUUGAGAGCUCUUUCUUGAUUCUGUGGGUGGUGGUGCAUGGCCGUUUUUAGUUGGUGGAGUAAUUUGUCUGGUUAAUUCCGUUAACGAACGAGACCUUAACCUAUUAAAUAGUCGUGGGAACCCAGGUCUUUCAUCCCUCUUCAGCAAUGGGGGGGAAACCAUUAUCAUAUUGGUACCCUCUGGGUAUCGUGUGGUAGUGGUGAGGAUCUGAUAGUGUUCUUAUAGGCUUCUUAGAGGGACUCUUUGCAUCUUUAGCAAAUGGAAGUUUGAGGCAAAAACAGGUCUGUGAUGCCCUUCGAUGUUCUGGGCUGCACGCGCGUUACAAUGACGCAUGCAACGAGUUAUUAAAUUCCUGGCCCGAUGGGGUUGGGUAAUCUUUUUAAAGUGCGUCGUGAUGGGGAUAGAGCAUUGCAAUUAUUGUUCUUGAACGAGGAAUUCCUAGUAAUUGCAGGUCAUCAACCUGCGAUGAUUACGUCCCUGCCCUUUGUACACACC